rnacentral:rRNA from 1 species
GACGUAGGGGGCGAGCGUUGUCCGGAUUUAUUGGGCGUAAAGAGCGCGUAGGCGGCCCGUUAAGUCGGAUGUGAAAACCCGUGGCUCAACCACGGGCCUGCAUCCGAUACUGGCGGGCUCGAGGCAGGCAGGGGAGAUCGGAAUUCCUGGUGUAGCGGUGAAAUGCGCAGAUAUCAGGAAGAACACCCGUGGCGAAGGCGGCUCUCUGGGACGGUACUGACGCUGAGACGCGAAAGCGUGGGGAGCGAACAGG